UUUAUGCAGCAGCAUAGGACUGAAUUGUGAAAGGACUUAUAUGAUUCUACCCCUUGUCAUUUUUAUGCUGCUUUGGAG
rnacentral:pre_miRNA from 1 species